CAGUAAUUCAGACUGUGGAGCUAGGGAUUGAAGAGCCUGUGCAGCACCCAUUUGUGCCUUCUGUUGGCGGUUCUGUGGUUUUUACCUUGUUCUUCUAAAAAAUCUCAGCUUCCAGCUGAAGACAUUACAGUGCACUGGAGAUACAACGAGAACCUGGAAGUGUAUGACAUUAUUAAGGGCAAAGUCUCUCUGGAAAAACAGCAUUCAGCAUAUUACAACAGAACUGAGAUUUUCAGUGAGAAGUAUCUGGAUGGAAACUUCUCCCUCAAAUUAAACAACGUUCAGCGCAGCGAUACAGGAACCUACAAAUGCCACAUCGCAAAUGAAUUACUAAUUCAAAGUGUGAAACUAGAAUUUAACCAAGGAGCACAAGCAAGACCAGCAGAAGAUUUUAUCUAGUGCCUUUACUUUCUGUUUCCAUUCUGCUCUGUAUGUGAGUAUCGAGAGGAGCAAUCAUUUGUCUACAGUAUUGAAACAGUUUAUGAAAAUUAUUCAUAUCGGAGCAUUGUCAGCUCACCCCAUACACUAAUAAAAAUAAAAGUGAUGCCAAAUAA